rnacentral:lncRNA from 10 species
ACAGCCUCUGAUUACUAUUACCAAUUACUUGAUGGAAAAUGAAAAGAUCAUGUACAGAGGCGCAUGGAAUAGAAAAGUAGAACAAAUUGUUAGACAAGUAUCACACGAGAUAGUAACCAGGCCUACGCUUUUUCCAGCUCAAGACAAAUUUCCUCUUGCAACUGCUUUGAAUCCUGGGCCCGGUGUGUGUGCAGACCUGUGAUCAAAGGUGCCAGAUACCCUGGAAUUCACCAUGCUAACAAAAUUGGAGAUUGUAAGAUAGAGAUGAAGUUGCCAGUGUUACCACUUUGUAAGAUAUUCUUAACCAAUCAUCAUGUAAGUCCAUGAAUAGAUAGAAUUAGAUUGCAAUUACAUUAUUUACCUAUGUUCAAUGUAAAAAGAAAAUUAGCAUUCUUGUAUAUGAAAUCAAAUUGUUGAAAAAAUAAUAAUAAGAUGUGCAAAUGUGCGUGCAUGAGUUGGUAUGUGCUUGUAUGUGUAAGUAUCUGUCUGUGUCUGUGUUUAGGUCCAGGGCAACAUUUCUGCUUUGAUAGAACUUAGGGUGAAUUUGGUGAACAGAUUCAUGUUAUUCCUCAUUCUAUUUCUACCAUGACAUUAUCUAAAUCUUUAGUUAUCUAUUCUGCUUUUCUUUAAUACAGGGUUGAAUUUUAAUGAAGUGUAUGUAUACAUGAGUAUAUGAGAAAUAGAUGUACCACUGUUAGUAAUCAUACCAUAUAAUCAUUGAGAAAGUAAUGUGUUUGUGUGCACUUGUAAACUGACUUCAGUGAUAAUACUAUUCAUAGAUAGAUGAUGUUUGUCAUUGCUUUUCCCUCAUAUUGUUGUCUGAUACUUUUUGCUAAAAAUUACAGCUCUAAAUUUCUGUGUGUUGUUUUACAGUAUUAACAUGUUAUGGAGAUACCAAUUUAUUUUAUUGUGAUUCAACUAAUGUAUAUGCUUAAAUAAUUUUAACAUAACAUUGAUAUGUUUUAAGAACAAUCUGUACUUUAAUAUUUUUAAAGCUAUAUGGAAAAUAAGAAGCUCUGGAGAGGCUAGAUAUGCAGAUUUAGUUAUAAGUUGGUCCAUUAUAAAAUUUUUACUAAAUUAAUAUUCAGAUUGUAUCAAGAGAAGACUUUAAGAGAUAAAACCAAUUAAAUCAAAUAAUCUUUAAAGAUAAAUUAUGGAGCAAAGGUGCAAGUUCAACUAUAAUACUAUCAUCUGGAAUUCUUUGUCAACUUAGAGAAAUUCACAUAUUUCACUUUCCAAUUAAGUGGCAUACAUAUAGACAAGCCUAAGGCCAUAAUCUCCUUAGCAGCUCAUUCUAUUCCAGGCAGCAAGAAAACAGACAUCUACUUGUUCUCUUCCAUGUCUCUUGUACAGACUGGAGUAGCUGCUACUGAGACAGCCUGUCUUGUUGUUUCUUAUGUAUUCAUUUUAACAGCUGCAAACAUAGUCUAUUCUUGUAAGAAUUUGCAUAAAAAUUUCAUCUUAAUAAAGCAGGUCCCAAAUAUUGAUGUUAGUCUAUAUACUGAUAGAUUGUAGUGAUUCAAAGUAAUUUUAUUUUUAUAUUUUUUAUUUUGUUAAAAUUUAUUUGAAUUGGCAGAUAAAAAUGCAUGUAUUUAUCAUGUGCAGCAUGAUGUGUUGAAUUACAUGCACAUCAUAUGCACAUAUUCACCCCAAUGUAAAGUUAUUUUUACAUUUUUCUGCAAUCUACUCCAAUCAUUUGUUUACAAAUAGAUUACAAAAUUAAUAUGCUAAGGAUUAUAUUCAAGCUCAACCAAGUAGGUAUAAUUUGGCACAAUAACAUCUUGGACAGCAGCUUUCAAAUGUUACAGUAAAAAUUCAACAUACAUUUUAAUUUCUUUUUAGUAAAAUAAAGGCUUUCCAGUUGAGAAAGUGAAAUGAAUUAUAUGAAUUAUAUGCAUUUAAUACGUGUACACACACUAUGCACCUAAAAUAAAGUCAAGUCUGAUGAAACCACA